rnacentral:lncRNA from 1 species
UUACUGUCAAGGGCAGAGCUGCUAAACGUGCUAGGACUUCAAAACACUUAGGGGCAGCCCCUUCUCCUCCCAUUAAUAAGGGGAAAAAGGAAGUGGAGAACUUGUCGUCUACCCCGGACAACCAGCUACUGAACACUGCCGAGGUGACUGCUGAGUCGACACCAGCCUCUGUAGCUGAGAUGCCGUGUGGUAGGAUGUUUGGGGGUCCCAAAUGCUUCUGAGCCUCGCUUUUUGGCCUUUGUUAGCCAUCUGGCCUGUGCCACCAAACAGCAGGCGGUCUAAUAUCUGAACUCAUCAUUAGCAGCAAACUUGUAUAGCAUGCC